ACACGACUCUCGGCAACGGAUAUCUCGGCUCUCGCAUCGAUGAAGAACGUAGCAAAAUGCGAUACCUGGUGUGAAUUGCAGAAUCCCGCGAACCAUCGAGUUUUUGAACGCAAGUUGCGCCCGAAGCCUUCUGGUUGAGGGCACGCCUGCCUGGGCGUCACGC
rnacentral:rRNA from 1 species